rnacentral:rRNA from 1 species
UACGAAGGGGGCUAGCGUUGCUCGGAAUUACUGGGCGUAAAGGGCGCGUAGGCGGAUAUUUAAGUUAGAGGUGAAAGCCCAGGGCUCAACCCUGGAAUAGCCUUUAAUACUGGAUAUCUUGAGUUCGGGAGAGGUGAGUGGAACUCCGAGUGUAGAGGUGAAAUUCGUAGAUAUUCGGAAGAACACCAGUGGCGAAGGCGACUCACUGGCCCGAUACUGACGCUGAGGCGCGAAAGCGUGGGGAGCAAACGGG